rnacentral:rRNA from 1 species
CCCAGACUCCUACGGGAGGCAGCAGUGAGGAAUAUUGGUCAAUGGCCGCAGGGCUGAACCAGCCAAGUCGCGUGAGGGAUGACGGUCCUAUGGAUUGUAAACCUCUUUUGUCAGGGAGCAAAGGGCGCCACGCGUGGCGUUCCGAGAGUACCCGAAGAAAAAGCAUCGGCUAACUCCGUGCCAGCAGCCGCGGUAAUACGGAGGAUGCGAGCGUUAUCCGGAUUUAUUGGGUUUAAAGGGUGCGCAGGCGGAAUGUCAAGGCAGGGGUUAAAUUUCGGGGCUCAACCCCGUCGUGCCGUUGGAACUGGCGUUCUUGAGUGAGCGAGAAGUAUGCGGAAUGCGUGGUGUAGCGGUGAAAUG